rnacentral:rRNA from 1 species
UGGGGAAUAUUGGACAAUGGGGGAAACCCUGAUCCAGCAAUGCCGCGUGAAUGAAGAAGGCCUUAGGGUUGUAAAGUUCUUUCACCUGUGAAGAUAAUGACGGUAGCAGGAGAAGAAGCCCCGGCUAACUCCGUGCCAGCAGCCGCGGUAAGACGGAGGGGGCUAGCGUUGUUCGGAAUGACUGGGUGUAAAGGGCGCGUAGGCGGUAUUUUAAGUGAGGCGUGAAAGCCCUGGGCUCAACCCAGGAGGUGCGUUUCAUACUGGAAUACUAGAGUACGAGAGAGGAAAGUGGAAUUCCUAGUGUAGAGGUGAAAUUCGUAGAUAUUAGGAAGAACACCAGAGGCGAAGGCGGCUUUCUGGCUCGCAACUGACGCUGAGGCGCGAAAGCGUGGGGAGCAAACAGGAUUAGAUACCCGCGUAGUCC